GGCUGCGGGCGGCCGUGCAGCUGGUCGAGUCCGGAGGGGGUCUCCAGCCACCCGGGGGGUCUUCACCUUCAGCAGCUACGCCAUGUUGUGGGUGCGACAGGCACCUGGGAAGGCGCCCGAGUGGGUCGCAGCUAUUAGCAGCGAUGGUAGCGGCACAUUCUACGCGCCGGCGUUCCAAGGGCGCUUCACCAUCUCCAGGGACAACUCCCGGAGCACGGUCACGCUGCAGAUGAACAGCCUCCGGGACGAGGACACGGCCACCUACUACUGCGCCAGAGCUGAUGCUGCUGGUGGCACCGACCCCGGCCGGCCCUGGCCCAAACAUCCCUGCCCGGGGGCUCCACAUUCCAGAAUCUUCCCAAAAUCCCUGCACAGAGCCAGGAUUCUUUGGGCCAUUUGA